GAUGAACGCUGGCGGCGUGCCUAAUACAUGCAAGUCGAGCGAACAGACGAGGAGCUUGCUCCUCUGACGUUAGCGGCGGACGGGUGAGUAACACGUGGAUAACCUACCUAUAAGACUGGGAUAACUUCGGGAAACCGGAGCUAAUACCGGAUAAUAUAUUGAACCGCAUGGUUCAAUAGUGAAAGACGGUUUUGCUGUCACUUAUAGAUGGAUCCGCGCCGCAUUAGCUAGUUGGUAAGGUAACGGCUUACCAAGGCAACGAUGCGUAGCCGACCUGAGAGGGUGAUCGGCCACUCUGGAACUGAGACACGGUCCAGACUCCUACGGGAGGCAGCAGUAGGGAAUCUUCCGCAAAGGGCGAAAGCUUGACGGAGCAACGCCGCGUGAGUGAUGAAGGUCUUCGGAUCGUAAAACUCUGUUAUUAGGGAAGAACAAAUGUGUAAGUAACUAUGCACGUCUUGACGGUACCUAAUCAGAAAGCCACGGCUAACUACGUG
rnacentral:rRNA from 1 species